GACGAACGCUGGCGGCGCGCUUAACACAUGCAAGUCGAGCGAAGCGGCGGACGGGUGAGUAACACGUUAGUAACCUGCCUUAGACAUUGGGAUAGCCUCGGGAAACCGGGAUUAAUACCAAAUGGUCUAAGAUGGACUCGCCUCCCAUUAGCUAGUUGGUGGGGUAAAGGCCUACCAAGGCGACGAUCCGUAACUGGUCUGGGAGGAUGAUCAGUCACACUGGAACGGAGACACGGUCCAAACGCCUACGGGAGGCAGCAGUGGGGAAUCUUGCACAAUGGGGGGAACCCUGAUGCAGCGACGCCGCGUGAGCGAUGAAGGUUUUCGAAUCGUAAAGCUCUGUCCUAUGGGAAGCGGUACCAUAGGAGGAAGCCCCGGCUAACUACGUGCCAGCAGCCGCGGUAAUAC
rnacentral:rRNA from 1 species